CCACUCUCCUACUGUCUCCUCCAAAUGCCUCCCUUGUACCAGAUGCUCUAUUGUAUUGAGUGCUGUCAAAUAGAGCAUGCUUGUACAAGGUAAGUUAUUGGGGGUACAACACUACACCUUAAA
rnacentral:precursor_RNA from 15 species